UGCGAUUGAAACCUUGCCACUUUUGCUCUUCACAUGAAUCUGACUUUUUUGUGUGACAUCUUGGAGAAAGAGACAUGUGCCUUGCUGAGUCAGAUGUGUUGAACAACUGCAGUGAUUUGUUUGCAUCUGUCAUCAGGAGAAUUUAAUUCAAAAAAUAAGAGGAAGCCUAGUGGUGAAAAGAAAGGAGAUGAGUACAUAUUGUAUUAGUUUAAUUAAGUCAUAAAACUUUUCAGACCACUUAAAAGGAAGGCUGGCAUAGUACCACAUUACAAGAUACAGCAAAGCAAAACUAAAAUAAUGAAUGCAAACAAAUGAACGACGGACAUUGGCUUUGAUUGUGGAUGUAGAGUCAAGCUGGCAGUUUCUGUAAAGAGAGCUACAAAUUGAAAAACCCAACACCAUCACCAAAAAAGUAUCCUAAUAAAAUGGAAAAGAAAUGUGGCCCAAGCCCAUGGAUCACUCUUGAAAUUAUUCCAAAAAUUAAUUAAUCUGUAAAAAAAGAGGUAAAGACAUAAUACUUCAUGAGACUAACUACUUGUACACCUAGUGAGUGCAGC